AGAGCGAACGCUGGCGGCAGGCUUAACACAUGCAAGUCGAGGGGCCGUAGCAAUACGGCACCGGCAGACGGGAGAGUAACACGUGGGAACGUGCCCAUCAGUUCGGAACAACCCAGGGAAACUUGGGCUAAUACCGGAUACGCCCUUACGGGGAAAGAUUUAUCGCUGAUGGAGCGGCCCGCGUCUGAUUAGCUAGUUGGUGAGGUAACGGCUCACCAAGGCGACGAUCAGUAGCUGGUCUGAGAGGAUGAUCAGCCUCACUGGGACUGAGACACGGCCCAGACUCCUACGGGAGGCAGCAGUGGGAAUAUGGACAAUGGGCGCAAGCCUGAUCCAGCCAUGCCGCGUGGAUGAUGAAGGCCUUAGGGUUGUAAAAUCCGUUUACGGCGGGGAAGAUAAGUGACGGUACCCGCGAGAAGAAGCCCCGGCUAACUUCGUGCCAGCAGCCGC
rnacentral:rRNA from 1 species